AUUCUCGUGGGGCAGAGAUUGCACUGUGAAACCCUACCGACACUACCCCGGAAGGGCCUGGCCUCCGAGGUGUCUGCAGCGUGCUGCCUUCGCCGGGGCUUUUCAGAAUGGGCCGGGGCCUCGGGGGUCUUCAUCCCCAAGGAAGCCUCUUGAUUUUUGGCACCGCCUUUGUUUUUGGGCCGGAAGCCGUUGUGCGGCUGUCUUCUGUGUUCGUGGCGGCUGUUGCCCUUUCCCAGUGGCUCGGCUUCAUUCCCACUGCCCUGCGACUUGGCAGGCCCAUUUAGCCUGUUGUUAUGAUACUGUGGAUUAAAUCUCCGUCUUUGGUUAGAAGAUCCAUUCUACCAAAAAAGAAAAGAGAUAAGUAUCAGAUGCCAGCAAGCCACUGAUGACACCAGUAGACAUCAGGAAAACCAAAUCUCUAAGCCACAGUUAUAAGCAAAGAAAAUUUGAAGCCUCUAUUAAAAAAUCAUUCCUUCAACACAUCACUGACCAGGAACGUAAAUGGAUGAGCAGUAAGGACGCAAUGGAUUAAGCUCCUUUACAAGGGAAAGAUUUCUGAACUCCUCAAGCUCUUAUUGUGGGCCUUUAUUCUGCAAAGAAGGCUGCAGUGCCAGCGGAGCUGACUGCCAGUGCCAAGUGUGUGACUGACAUAACGUAUGGAGGUAAUUGCAGCAAAGCACAUCAUCUGAUCUUGAGAACCCAGCAGCCAUUCAGAGGAGCUCCAACCUACAUCCUCGUGCCAUUCCCCACCUCCCGCCACUGUCAGUGGCUUUGAGCAGCUCCAAUCCAUCUACACCCUCUGGCAAUGGCAGCCUCUUAACAGAAGAGCUCAGUCUGUGCCCUUUGACAAGUUUCUUCACCACCACAAGGCUGCACGUUCCUCUGGUAGCCACACACCUUCUUCGAUCAGGUCAGAAUCUCAGUCUUGGCUUGGGGGCCUCCCCUAGGCCUUAGUUCCUUUAUUGUCUCAUUUUCUUCAGUACAGAUAUAGUAACUGCUCUCAUGCUAAAUGUGGACACCUUAUGGUCCUCUUUUACCCCUUCUAGUAGUUAGUAACCUCCUACUGUUUUAAUUAACAAUGCUUUACAUUACAUUUCUCCUAUUCAAAUAACCAGUAUGGUUCUUAUCUCCUGACUUGAUCUUGACUGAUACACAUGGCCAGUAUGAGGGCCCAAACAGAGACCAGCAUAGCUAAAGUAGAGAGGGCAAGAACGAAUGUGCCAUGCAAGGAGGGUGGAGUGGGACACAGGGGCCAGACUAUGCUGGGCUUGCAGGACAGGGUAAGUCUUCUUGUCUUUAUCGUAAGAGGUCAGAUUUGUGUUUUGAAAAGAUUACAGGAUAGAGAAUGAUUUACAAAGGAACAAGGGUAAGUGCUAGGAGAUUAAUGAGUGGACUAUUGCUGCAGUGCAGGCAAGUGAGGAUGGUAGUUUUGGUGGGAAGGCAGGGGAAGAGACAGCAAUGAAUGAAUUCUAGAAAUACAUGGAAAUGAAAACCAACAGGAAAUGGGGAUAGACUGGAAAUGGGGAGUGAGAAAGAGGGAGAUGUCAUGACUGAUGACUAGAUUUCUGGUUUGCACAAUUGGAUAGGUGGUGCACUAGGAUCGGGAACACUAAAAGAGAGCCACGACUGGGAAGGGAGAUGAUGAGUUUGUUUUGAGCAUGUUGUUGAAGUGCUUUGAAAUAUCAAGGUGAAAAAGUCAAAGAAGAGUCUGGAGUUCAGAGUGUAGCCAGAACUAGGAAGAUGAGUUUGUGAGUCAUCUUACAUAAUUAAAGCUAGAGUAUGGCUGAAAUAAUCUAAGGACAGUGUGUAGCUUUAUAUGAUGAAGGACCUGAGAUCAAACAAGCCCUAGGGAGCUUCAGCAAUUUAACAGCCAGGUAAGGAAGAAUGACCUCCAAAGGGAACAGAGAGGAAGCAGUAAAGACAGAGGGACACAAUCAGGAGAGUGUCAUGUCAUAGAAACCACAGGGAAACGAUAGAGUUAAGGAUAGGGUGGUUAACAAUGCUGAAUACUGCUAAAGGGAAAAAAUAAAGAUUAAAAAACAAUGGCUAGAUUCAAUAAUAUGGAGGCCAUUGCUAAACUUACCUAUAACAGCUUACCUAGAGCAGUUUAUUUGGAGAGAUGGGGCUGAAAGCCGUAACAAUGAGGUGAUGAGUGAGAGGGAGGUGAAGAGUGGAGACAGGGAGUAAAGGUAACUCUCUGAAGAUGUUACAGAAUAAUGGUCUAGUGAUGAAGCCUCAAGAAAACUCCUUUUUUUUUUUGUUUUUGAGACACGGUCUCGCUGUCACCCAGGCUGGAGUGCAAUGGUGUGAUCACGGCUCACUGUGGCCUCGACCCCCAGCUCAAGUGAUCCUCCCACCUCAGCCUCCCAAGCAGCUGGGACUACAGGCAUUUGCUACCCUGCUCAGCUAAUUUUUGUAUUUUUUGUAGAGAUGGGGUUUGCCAUGUUGCCCAGGCUAAGAAAACCAUUCUCUCAUAAUUAUUAUAUACUUUGAUUUGCAAGUUUCAUCAUUCUUCUAUCUUUACAUGACAGGGUAAUAAACAAAAAUUUGGGGAAACAAUAACUUUGGAACAGAGACCAAAAUAGACAGGUUUAUGCAGCAGACACAAUGUCAGUUCUGCCUUCUCAUAAUGUCUUUAUCAAAUACAGAUAUACUUUAUUAUUUCAUUCAAAUCCUAUGAAGCUUGAUGAGCUCAGAGGGCAUAAAGGUGGUAACUUUCUGACUGGAAUAACAUCUUUAGUUUUAUUUACAUUCACUGUCUUUACAAGAUCUUAUAUGUCAUUAAUACCUUAAUAGGUUUAAUAUAUAUGUAUAUUAUUAUAUAUAAUAAUACAUGUAUAUUUUAUAUAUGUAUAU
rnacentral:lncRNA from 10 species